ACACGUUGGUGUUACAGGAGUUGGGCACUGGCUGAUAUCUGCAUCUAUUCUGGAGUAAUGCCUAGAGGUCUAUAAACAACAAAAGGGGAGCCUAUUGUGACAUAGAGCUUGCUAAAGACCGGAGCUUUAAUAGGACUAUCAUCAGGUCCAGAAUCAAGCCUCAAAAAGGUCUUCUUUUUCACCUUCAUCAGUGGAUAUUAAUCUGAAUCACUGUGGCACAUAUCCCCAGGACUGUAGCUAAACUCUCCAUGGACAUUGUAUGCACCCUGAACCCAAAUAUCCUGCAAGUGGAACUCUUCAUCAAGUAAGAAUGCUGUAAACUUUAACUUUAUACAUUAUCAACAACACUGGAGCAUUAAGACUAUUAAACGGCUGAUAGUCUUUGAAUGGAAAACAGAACAGUUACUGCGGGAAAGCAAAUUACAUUAUACUGGUCAGAAGCAGGGAGGAUGUCUUCUAACCUUGCCCUCUUGUGACAUCUCUGCAUGAGGACUGCUGCGCCUGGCUGAUAGGCUACAUCAAUGUACAGGGGACAGUUGGGCAAAUAUGAUAUUAGUAGUGCUAUCUCUACAUUGCAAAGAUCCCUUAGGCUGUGCUUAGGCAUCUACCAUGAAGAUUGCAUCAAUUACUCAGCAACUUAUAAUAAAUCCCCUAUACACUUUAACUUAUUUGUCCUAGGUAAUAAUAUGCCACAUACAGAAUAGCAUCAUGCAAAAAACAAGUUUUUAAACACCACCUCGGUUCUGGAAUUUUAAUGGUAUUUGCAUAGAAAUGAUAUUAAAGGCUAAG